UACGAAGGGUGCUAGCAUUACUCGGAAUUACUGGGCGUAAAGAAUGCGUAGGCGGAUUUGUAAGUUAGGAGUGAAAUCCCUGGGCUCAACCUAGGAAUUGCUUUUAAAACUGCUUAUCUAGAAUGCCAGAUUGAUUAGGGGAAUUCCUGGUGUAGGGGUAAUAUCCGUAGAUAUCAGGAGGAAGACCGGAAGCGAAAGCGCUUAAUUAGCUGGUGAUUGACGCUGAUGCAUGAAAGCGUGGGGAGCAAACAGG
rnacentral:rRNA from 1 species